UACGUAGGGUGCGAGCGUUGCCCGGAUUUAUUGGGCGUAAAGGGCGCGUAGGCGGCCUGCUAAGUCGGACGUGAAAUCCCUCGGCUCAACCGGGGAACUGCGUCCGAUACUGGCGAGGCUUGAAUCCGGGAGAGGGAUGUGGAAUUCCAGGUGUAGCGGUGAAAUGCGUAGAUAUCUGGAGGAACACCGGUGGCGAAGGCGGCCACCUGGACGGUCACUGACGCUGAGACGCGAAAGCGUGGGGAGCAAACAGG
rnacentral:rRNA from 1 species